CUUAUGGCUGUGGAAAAGCUGCAAUAAACAGCAGCCAACGUUAGGGCUGUGCCUCCUUGCGGUUUCAGUGUGGGCCAAACUGGCCUACCCGCACGGGCAGUGCCGUUCCGGGAGCAAGCACCGCGGGCAGCCCUGGGUCAUCGUCCCAGGGUAACCGCGCACCGCGUGCUGGCGCCGGCGGCAUCGGUGCUGUUAUCUUGCUGCAAGGAAAGGCACCAGCGAGGGGACAGAGAGGGACCGUGUGGGUGAGACACCGGCCCAACCGCCUCAGUUAAUGUGUAACCGUGGAUGGGCGAGCUCCUGUGCACGGUAGCACUAGGGCUCUCUGCGGCUGGUAUCGGAGUGGGAUCCGGCGUGGGAGGCGAGCGCCCCGGAGCUGUACCCCACCAGCAGCUGGCUUAAGAUGUGGUCCUGGUCUGCUCUGGUCUCACUGAACUUUGAUCUGCCUUCACAUAAUUGCAAGCCCAGACCCUGAAGAUGCUGAACUCUCAUGGGAACUCUCCAAUCGAGAGCAUUAACAAAGAGUGAUCAAUAGAUUAUGGCACACUUACUUUUGCUGAUACAUUUCUUGGCACUCUGCCAAACAAAAUUGGUGAAAGGAAACAUAAUAGAAAAUGAGUUUUGAGAAUCAGGUGCUCAUCACUGCAAGGUCUGAGUCCUCUCUGGAGUUAGCGGCCAUAUCCUCAGAAUACCCCCAUGAGCUGGAUGUUACUGUCCUCUUUCUCAGCCUGUUGCUCGCUGUGGCAUCGGAUCAGAUGCCUUCACAUAUGCCUGGGGUGGCAGAGGGGGAACUGAGAUCAGAGAGAUCGUGGAAGAUCUGUGUGGUCUGACUGGGCUGAUAAACUGCUGUGGUAGAGGUUCUCGAGGCCUGGUCUAAGAAAGUGGUUUUCCCCAUGUGGCACACUGUGUAGAGAACCCAUGACAUUAACUUGGACCUUGAGGGCAAUGCAGAUGCACUGGUCCAGCAGCACCACACCACUUGCCUGCAGCAGGAGAUGUACCUGGGAUCCUUUUAUUUUGGAUGAGCACUGCAUUGUGCUCCCGUAUGUGCUGCGUGGGGAAGGGACUGAAGCACAGAUGUCCUGAAACCUUUGUAAAUACUCCUCCUUCCUAAUGAACGCCACUGGUGUUGGCAAUGACUACAAUUUUAUUUUGCACACUGACAUGCAAAAGGCCCUGAAAAUAGUUAUGAAAACACAGUCUAAAAGACAGCAACACAGUUUAACAGACAGCUUGCUCAGACAAACUACCCAGUUCAGCACUACAUUACUCCUAAUGAAACCAGUCUGGAGAUGCAGUGUGACCAGAAACAACUGCUUUGUUUACUGGGUGAGUGUUUGAAAGGUAAGCUGUAAGUAUACACAGAUAACAGCUCUACAGAUAGAAAAACAACCAGCAUGGAAGUUACCCAUCAAAUUCUGCAUUACUUGAAGACAGCAAAAGCAGUAAUAAUAAGGUAAUAUGUAACUUUUUUCUCUUCAAGGCCUUUUGAAAGUAAAGCUAAGAAGCCAAAUAUACAGCUAAGGACCAUAUUGCAGAAACAUGUAGAAUAGGUUAUCUGUGAACAGACAUGUCAGUCAUCUGUCAUCAUAUAUAUCUAGAAGACUUGUCUUAGAUUUUGGCACAAUUAUCACUCACUCUCUUUAUGCUGCUUAAUAACAGGCCUUUUACAUUACAAUGGGAGCCAGUUUUCACUCCAAGUUUGGAUCAUACAAGACAUAACUUAGUGUUGGUGCACAAUCCUUGCCCAGAAAAAUUCACCUGCCCCCAACAAACCUGCAGAGAUAGCAUAAUGCAUUGCAUGAAUGCUGACUUAAUCAUUUGAUUACUCUUUGUCAUUCAAGGCCCAGAGAAACUUCAUCCUAGUAAACCAUUUUAAUUUUACCUCUGUCUCUUGUACAUCUUUCUCACUUCACUAAUAAAGCUAGAAGAGCUACAGUAACAUUGGUAUUACAGGAACUAACAGAUACGUUAAAAAAAUAAGUAAAUGAAAAAGAGAGAGACUGUUUAUCUUCUUUUGGAUGGCGGAUGUGAUGGUACUGCUCUAAGAGCAUAUUUCUCACAAGGGUCUACUUUUGUUCCUGCAGGUGAAAGGGAACAGGACUAGACUCUAAGUCACUGUUUGAUGAAGCCACAUCAUCUCCUUAACUCUCAGAAAUAAAUAUUUGGUUUAUGUUUUUUCUUCCAUUUUAAAAUGUUUUUAUUUGGACAUAGACAAUAUAUGGAUUCUUUAUUGUUUAUGUGCUCUGUAGGAACAGAUCUCUACGCAGUUAGCUUAGAAACUUACUUUGCUUAGCAUGGCUUUCUUUUUUUCUUUUUUUUUUUUUUUAAGAGAUAGAAUGAGUUAAAUGCAUAAUUCAAAUUACCAUUUUAAAGAUUGUCUUGAAAAGAAAAAAGUCUUAAACAAAAUAGACAAUUAUAUAAUGAAGAUUUUGGUAUUCUUAAUAGUUUCACAGAACUAACCUGUGAUUCCAUCCAUCAGUUCACUGGAAGACACUUGGAAUCAAGUCAAGUCACCUUCCUGAAUACAUGUGCCCUGUGAACACUGAGUGUAGUACUAUGAUCAUCUAAAACCUGUUAGCUGUCACAUGCAAGGAGGCCAUGCCCCACAGGUCCCACAUUUCAACUUUACUGUGACCCAGUUGGAAUACUGCGUAAGUUACUGCAUGGAAAACACUGAACUAUUUUUUUUCUCACUUAUUUCCAUGUAACUUCCUGAGUCACUGGGAAAAAAAAUAAAAGAAACUGAGCCUACAGAAAAUCGGGAACCUACUAGAGAUAUUGUCUUUAUGUUCAGUGCAAAAUCAUUCAGAAUGAUUAUUUUGAUCUGAAUCUCCAUGUACAUUAUUAUUGGUGUUAAUGGGAAUGGAGGAUGUACAUGUGAGCUGUUGGAAUCAGAACAGUGGGAUGGGAAUGAUACAUAACGAAGAGAAAACUCCCUGCCCAGGGAAUUCAGACAGUGCUGUGCAGUCACUGCUAUGCUAUUUGCCACGUGCUAUAUACAGUCACAAAAUAUUCCACUCAGUCAGAGACAUGGCCAGAAAAAGCCCUGCGAACCCCAAAGUCUUACAGUCUUAUAAUAACCACUGAAGCACGCCUUCCACCACAAAAGGAAUACAGCAAAGCUCCUGUUGACCCACAUGGGAAAAGCUGUGUGCAAUUUAUUCAGAAUAUAAAGAAGCAGGAAAAAUCAGGGGGGCUCAUUUCAGUAGAUCCAUGGCCUUUUGGCAUUGCUCUGGAACUGUGAAGCACAUGUGAGCUUGCUGUAAUCACAUCUGAAUACCAGAGACAAGUCCUUCCGCAGCUUUGAAAAGCACUGGGAAUACCUGACGCUGUCCCACAGAGGGUUGUGCAGUGGUGAAGAAACACAGGAAAAAAAAAUCAGGAAGUAAAGCCGGAAACUCAAGAACUCACAAAAAAGAUUGCAGCAAACAGGGAAGGCUUGGGCCUAUGUACUGCCAUUAAAAAAAAAAUCUCA